rnacentral:rRNA from 1 species
UACGUAGGGGGGCUAGCGUUGUCCGGAAUCAUUGGGCGUAAAGAGCGUGUAGGCGGUCCGGUAAGUCCGCUGUGAAAGUCGGGGGCUCAACCCUCGAAUGCCGGUGGAUACUGUCGGGCUAGAGUGCGGAAGAGGCGAGUGGAAUUCCUGGUGUAGCGGUGAAAUGCGCAGAUAUCAGGAGGAACACCUAUUGCGAAGGCAGCUCGCUGGGACGGUUACUGACGCUGAGACGACGAAGCGUGGGGAGCAAACAGG